rnacentral:rRNA from 1 species
UACAGAGGGGGCAAGCGUUGUUCGGAAUUACUGGGCGUAAAGCGCACGUAGGCGGCUUUGUAAGUUAGAGGUGAAAGCCCAGGGCUUAACCCUGGAAUUGCCUUUAAGACUGCAUCGCUAGAAUCGUGGAGAGGUGAGUGGAAUUCCGAGUGUAGAGGUGAAAUUCGUAGAUAUUCGGAAGAACACCAGUGGCGAAGGCGACUCACUGGACACGUAUUGACGCUGAGGUGCGAAAGCGUGGGGAGCAAACAGG